rnacentral:rRNA from 2 species
AGAGUUUGAUCCUGGCUCAGGACGAACGCUGGCGGCGUGCCUAACACAUGCAAGUCAUACGGAUACAGAAGUUAGAAGAGAGAGGUUAUCUGACUUCCGACUUCUAACUUCUGUUAUCAGUGGCGCACGGGUGAGUAACGCGUGGGAAUCUACCCGGUAGUGGGGGAUAACCCCUCGAAAGGGGGGCUAAUACCGCAUAAGUCCUACGGGGUAAAGAUGGCCUCUUCGAGGCUAUCGCUUCCGGAUGAGCCCGCGUCCUAUUAGCUAGUUGGUGAGGUAAUGGCUUACCAAGGCCACGAUGGGUAGCCGGUCUGAGAGGAUGAACGGCCACACUGGGACUGAGACACGGCCCAGACUCCUACGGGAGGCAGCAGUGGGGAAUUUUGCGCAAUGGGGGAAACCCUGACGCAGCAACGCCGCGUGGAUGAUGAAGGCCUUCGGGUUGUAAAGUCCUGUUCUGGGGGAAGAAACGGUAGGAAGCCAAUACCUUCCUGCCCUGACGGUACCCCAGCAGAAAGCUCCGGCCAAUUAUGUGCCAGCAGCCGCGGUAAUACAUAAGGAGCAAGCGUUGUCCGGAAUUAUUGGGCGUAAAGAGCUCGUAGACGGUUCGGAAAGUCAGCUGUGAAAUCACCAGGCUCAACCUGGUAGGGUCAGUUGAGACUUCCGAACUUGAGGGUAGAAGAGGAAAGUGGAAUUCCCGGUGUAGCGGUGAAAUGCGUAGAUAUCGGGAGGAACACCAGUGGCGAAGGCGGCUCUCUGGACUACGACUGACGCUCAUACACCAAAGAAGCGGGAGCAAACAGGAUUAGAGAUAGUCGUGGUCCUCACCGUAAAAGACGUGUACUCGAAGGUAUGUGUCUUGUACACUGGGCUGUCAAGAUAUUACGUCAAAUAGAUGGCGUGUGGAGUAGUACGGCAGCAAUUCAACUCAAAUGAAGAGUCGAGGGACCACACAACACAGCGGAGCAUCUGGUUUAAUUCGACGCGACGACGCAGAACCUCAUCUCCCCUGUAUAUCCACCGAAUAGGUUACCGAGAGUUUAUUGCUUUCGUGGACAGUGAGACAGGUGGUGCAUGGUUGUCGUCAGCUCGUGUUGUGAGAUGUUGGGUUAAGUCUCGCAACGAGCGCAACCCCUAUCAUUAUUUGCCAGCACGUAAUGAUGGGAACUCUAGGGAGACUGCCGUUGAUAAUCCGGAGGAAGGUGGGGAGGACGUCAAGUCAUCAUGGCCCCUACGAGUAGGGCUACACACGUGCUACAAUGGUGAGUACAAAGGGUGGCAAAGCAGCGAGGAGGAGUUAAUCUCAUCAAAGCUGGUCGUAGUCCGGAUUGGAGUAUGCAACUAGUCUCCAUGAAGUCGGAAUCGUUAGUAAUCGUGGAUCAGCAUGCCGCGGUGAAUCCGUUCCCGGGCGUCGUACACACCGCCCGUCACACCACGAAAGUUGGCGAUACAUGAAGUUACCAUACCAACCCUUUGGGGAGGAAGGUACCGAGGGUAUGGUCAGCGAUUGGGGUGAAGUCGUAACAAGGUAACCG